CCUACGGGCGACAGCAGUGGGGAAUAUUGCACAAUGGGCGCAAGCCUGAUGCAGCCAUGCCGCGUGUAUGAAGAAGGCCUUCGGGUUGUAAAGUACUUUCAGCGGGGAGGAAGGGAGUAAAGUUAAUACCUUUGCUCAUUGACGUUACCCGCAGAAGAAGCACCGGCUAACUCCGGGCCAGCAGCCGCGGUAAUACGGAGGGUGCACGCGGUAAUCGGAAUUACUGGGCGUAGGGCGCACGCAGGCGGUUUGUUAAGUCAGAUGGGAAAUCCCCGGACUCAACCUGGGAACUGCAUCUGAUAGUGGCAAGCUUGAGUCUCGUAGAGGUGGGUAGAAUGCCAGGUGUAGCGGUGAAAUGCGUAGAGAUCUGGAGGAAUACCGGUGGCGAAGGCGGCCCCCUGGACGAAGACUGACGCUCAGGUGCGAAAGCGUGGGGAGCAAACAGGAUUAGAUACCCUUGUAGUC
rnacentral:rRNA from 1 species